rnacentral:lncRNA from 1 species
GGAACAUCAACUGCCAAUGUUGUUGAGAUUCUUGCCUUGCUCAUUCUACUUCAAAGCGUUUCCUCCUUCUGCAAUGGAGAUAAUUUCAAUGGAAGCUGUAUCAAGACUGAAAGAGAAGCUCUUGUGAAGUUCAAGUCAAGCCUCCUCAACAAUUCAAACUCGUUGCCUUCAUGGGUGGGAGAUGAUUGCUGCAGAUGGCACGGAGUCACUUGCGAUGACAUAACCGGUCAUGUAGUUAAGCUCGUUCUUUCUCGGGCGUCCAUCAUGGGAAACAUUUCCCUUCAUCUUGGAAAUCUUUCAAACUUGCAGUAUCUUGAUCUCAGUUGGAAUCAUGAUCUCAGUGUGAAUCCUUCAUUGGCAAUCCACAGCCUCCAUUUUCCAUCUUCUUUGAAAUACUUGUACUUGUCGUACGUGGUCCUGGACAAGUGUGACAAUUGGUUGCAGUCAAUAAACAUGCUUCCUUCUUUAAUAGAAUUAGAAUUGUGGAAUUGUGAGCUUUCCAUCAUUGGUGAUGUUUCACAUGUCAAUUUUACAUCUCUUGAGGUUCUCGACCUUGGAAUUAACAACUUCCAUUCCACAAUCCCAAGCUGGUUAUAUAAUAUUACCAAACUUCGACAUCUUGUUCUACAGUCUAGUGCUUUCCGAGGGUCUCUUUCCACUGAUAUCAGUAAUCUUAAUUCUCUUGCUUCCCUUUAUGCGGGUUCUAAUUCUUUGCAAAGCAACGUACCCAACACGUUAAACAGGCUUUGCAAUUUGAUUGAGCUAGACUUGGGUUACAACAAGUUCAGCGGUGAGAUUUCCGGAACUUUUGGCAACUCAUCCGGUUGCAUCAAGAACAGUUUAGAGAAUCUGUAUCUUUUAAACAAUUCCUUUUCUGGUAGUAUUCCAGAUAAUUUGGGACAAUUUAAACGCCUGAAAGUCCUUUUUCUUUCUAAAAACUCUUUCUGGGGUUCAAUUCCUGAAUCCCUUGGACAGCUUUACAACCUUGAAAGACUAGGUUUGAGUCAGAAUUCAUUGCAUGGGAAAGUUUCUGAACUUCACUUGUUAAACCUGAGAAGCUUGAUUGAGUUGAGUAUGGGUGGGAAUUCUUUAGUUUUUGAUAUAGAUCCCGAAUGGAUACCUCCUUUUCAACUUGACUCGAUUGAUUUAUCAUCUUGUGAAGUAGGGCCUUCGUUUCCAGAGUGGCUCAAAACACAAAAGAGCAUUAGAUUUUUAGAAAUGUCUAAUGCAAGCAUCUCAGAUAACAUCCCUGACUGGUUUGAAAAUAUUUCUUCCAAUAUAGUAGGAUUGGUUUUAUCUUAUAAUCAGUUGUUUGGGACCUUGCCAACUUUCAGAAAACUGAACACAACUUAUGCUAACGAAUAUAGGAUCAUAUUGUUGAAAUCUAACCAGUUUGAUGGUUUUUUAAGCUGUUCUNNNNNNNNNNNNNNNNNNNNNNNNNNNNNNNNNNNNNNNNNNNNNNNNNNNNNNNNNNNNNNNNNNNNNNNNNNNNNNNNNNNNNNNNNNNNNNNNNNNNNNNNNNNNNNNNNNNNNNNNNNNNNNNNNNNNNNNNNNNNNNNNNNNNNNNNNNNNNNNNNNNNNNNNNNNNNNNNNNNNNNNNNNNNNNNNNNNNNNNNNNNNNNNNNNNNNNNNNNNNNNNNNNNNNNNNNNNNNNNNNNNNNNNNNNNNNNAAAAAAAAAAACAAUUAAAAGCUUUGGUUUCGGGAAGGAUCCCGAAACCCCAACCACUGUCUCCCUCCUCCAGAAACAGAGCUUGUUCUGUUAGUUUUAAAAAAAAAAAUUUUCCUUUUCUUUAAAUCCAAAUCUCUUCCUCCUCCGCAACCCAAUCAACUCAUAAACUUCUAAGAUCCUUCAGCUACAUCCUGAUUUAAAGCUAUAUUCCGCUCAGAAAUUCAAUAAUGUCUUCUAGAGGCUCCAAAAUUGGAUAAGUGAGUUUUGUUCCUUUUAUUCAAAUUUUCACGAUAUAAUUUAUUUUCUCUACCUUUUAAUAGUGAUUUUGGUGAUUUGAGCAUAAAAAGGUAUAUGUUUUAGUUAGAUUUAAUUAAUGAGUUUUAAUAUUUAUUUUUGGAAUUUAUGAUUUUCAUAAUUUGAUUUAAAUAAUAUUUAUAGCUUAUUGAGUAUUUUUGUUGAGUUUGAGUAUUUCUGGGAGGACUAACUAUACCGAAAUAUGGCCGAAAUUUUCUUCAAUAUAUAUAUAUAUAAAUAUAUUUAAAAUUUUGUAUUUUACGUUUUAUAUUUUUAUCCUAGAAUAUUUAUUUAUUAUUUGAUAUAUUAUUUAUUUUUCUUUUUAAUUCUAGGAGAGGAUCCAGCUUCAGGAUAGACAAUAGGGGUGCUCCUGCAACCUAGGUCUUUUUGUCCUCUGUUUUGGUGAGUGGAUAAAUACAUAACAUUGAUAUUUUUCUUAAAUAUAUUUAUAUGUGUAUAUGUUAUUUUGUUUAUUUAAAAUGGAAAAGGAUAAAGUUAUUUUAUAUUUCUUAAAUAAAUGGAAAUUUAAUUUAAAGCACAGCUGAAUAAAUAGCCGAUUACACUCUGUAUAUGCACCGAACAGAUAACACCUUGAUGACAGGUGCUUUAUUUUCAGCAUAAUAUAUGUUUAUACUGUUUUUGGGACAGCGCUUGAUAUACAGAUAGCCUUUGGGGCGUAUGUCAGGUGGUCACCCUUUGGGGUAGCUCUGCACAUGUGUAUGACCAGCAUUUUAUUUGCUCUUGGGCCAAAUUUGUCAUUAUAGAGCCUAAGAUGCCAGCAUUGCUCUCAGGCUGUUAUUAUUUUCUUAUCCCUGAGAUGCCAGCAUUAUCUGCAGGGAACAUAUUAUGAGUGUAUGCGGAUUCUAUUUUUCACAGUUUAUUUUAUGUUGAUGGAAUGAAAUUGUAUUUAUUCAGCUGACUUAUUUUAGCUAAAUAUUUGGUACUAUUAAGUACCUAAACUUUAUCUUUUCCCCUUUGUUAUUUAUUUAUCCGCUCACUGAGUAGUUUGUACUCACCCCUUAUAUUUCUUUUAAUAUUUCAGUUCCUUUUUGGUGAUCUGCUCAGCAGUCUUCAUCUUCUUGUUUGUCCUUCCUUCCACAUCGUCCACUCAGAGUCUAGAGGAGGUCGGAUCAAUCCUAAGUCUUUUGUCUUUUCUUUUUGUAAUUUUGUUAGAUCAUGUAUAGAUUGUACAGCCCCAAUGAAGAAGGUUUUGUGUUGUUGUAAAUAUUUUAUGAAUUGACUAGUUAUAAUUUGAAAUUAUAGCAGGUUACAUGUUUUUAUAUAUGCAAAUAUUAGGGGGAACUCUGUCAGUUUUCCGGGUCAUAUCCGUCUCUACAGUUUGGGGGUUGGGUGUGACAGUGGUGAUGUUCCAAUGUCCUUGGGUUCUCAAGAGUCGCUUGUUUCCCUGCAUCUGCAAAACAAUACUCUGAAAGGAAACAUCCCAAUGUCAUUAAGGAAUCUAGAAUCCUUGGAGACUCUUGAUCUUAGCAUGAAUGCUUUUGAUGGUUUUAUUCCUUCAUGGAUAGGUGAGAGCCUAUCUUCUCUGAAAGUACUGAGUAUUCACUCUAAUAAAUUUGAAGGUGAGAUUCCUCUGCCGCUUUGCUACCUUGCUUCUCUUCGCAUAUUGAACUUGGCAAAUAACAUGAUGACUGGAACCAUACCUAAUUGUUUUGGCAAUUUUACUGCAAUUGCUAUGCAUGAGCAGAAAGGGCAUUGGGACUAUUACACUAAAGAUCAACCCUUUGCUUUUGUAUCAGCUAGCUAUGGUGAGAAUGUGCAGGUUUAUGUCAAAGGAAUAGAGCUUAAAUAUACUAGAACACUUCGAUUUCUCUAUUCCAUUGACCUUUCAGGAAAUAACUUUGUUGGAGAAAUUCCCCAGGAGUUGAUGAAUCUUUCAGGUCUACAGAUCCUGAAUCUAUCUACAAACAAAUUGGAUGGACAUAUCCCUUGGAACAUUGGCAAGUUAAGCUCACUAGAAUCACUUGACUUGUCUGAAAAUGAACUUUCUGGCUCUAUUCCAUCCAGUAUUUCUGAUUUAAACUUUUUAAGUCACUUGAAUUUGUCAUUCAAUCACUUAUCUGGACGAAUUCCAAAGGGAAACCAACUUCAGACUUUGGAUGACAAAUCCAUCUACAUCGGCAACGAUGGACUUUGUGGACCUCCAUUGAAUAACUAUUCAGAUGAUGCAGAUGAAUCGCCUAAAGGUCAUGAAAAAGGUGGCACUACGAGGAAAGAUGACUCUGAAAUGGUUUGGUUCUACAGUGGUAUGGGAAUGGGAUUUGCGGCUGGAUUUGUUGGAGUUUGUAGCAUCUUGUACUUCAACGACUCAUGGAGGUGUGCUUGGUUUGGGUUAGUUGACAGAGUCUAUAACAAGCUUUGGGUAACAAUUGCAAUCAAGGCAAAUCAAGUGAAGAGAAAGUUUCUCAGAAACAAAAUAGAAGGAAAUGCAUGAGAAGGUUAGUUCUUUCUAUUUAAUCAUUCAUAAUUCAUGGAUGCUUUAUUACUGUUGUUAGAGAUGCAAAUUGACAGAAAUUUCAAUUACAUGAUCAUAAUGUUUUCUAUGUUAAUUUUUGAUGAUAGUGUUUAAUGUAGGAUUUAAGGUUGUUUGAGACUGCAGCAGAUGUUAAGCUAAAUUUAAAUAAAGCACCUCCUCCAUUCGAGAUUUGAAGUUUGGAAGGCUGGAAGAUUUUCUUUAAAGGGGAUGUGUUUUUGUGUGAUUGUUUCCAGGAUUUGAUAUUCUUGAGCUUUUUCUAAGAUAAUUCCUAUAUUAAUAACUUUAUUUUCUGUACAAUAACUUUAAAUUGCUAUAAAAUAAUAUAAAAAAAAUUUAAAACACAAAAUGGUGUAUACUAUACAACUCUAAGUGAGAGAGCAAAAAUUGGGAUAAAUCCCAAUUUGAAUUGUCAAAGGAAUAGAGCUUUUUCUAAGAUAAAGCCUCUCGCUCUCUUUUUUUUUAAUGGCACGAAAUAUUUCAAAUUGAACUAAUUAUUUAUUUAAUUUUUUUUAUUUAAAAAAAUCACACAAUAUAAAAUACACAACUAAUUUUUAAUUAUAUAUAUAAAAAUAAAAUUAUAUAAAUAAAAAUAAAAUUAUAUAAAAUUAUAAUUAUAUUUUUUUUCCUGAAAUGAUCCUUUCUCUCUUUUCAUUAAAACAAACAGCUAUUUAAUAGUCACUACCAUUUGUUUUUUUAAUUUUUUCCAUUUACUUAAUCUUUUAUCGGAGAAAAUCUUGUUAAUCAACUAAAUUAAUAAAUUGAAACAUAGAUUUUGAAAGAAAAUUUCAUAAAAUAUAAUGAGAUUCUUUUAAGCUUCAAAAUAUCAAAUGAUUUAGAUUUGACUGCCAGUAGUCUAUAACAAUAUCUACUAAUGUGCUAUAUAUAUAUAUAUAUAUAUAUAUAUAUAUAUAUAUAUAUAUAUAUAUAUAUAUUUAUGUAUAUACAUAUAUUAUUUUAUUUAUUUAAAAUGAGAAUGAAUAAAAAAAUUUAUAUUUCUUGAAUUAAUGAAAAUAAAAUUUAAAAUACGACUCAAUAAAUAGCCGAUUACAUAUAUACUGAAUAGAUAACACCUUGAGGUGAUUUAUUUUCAAUUUAGUAUAUAUUUAUACUGUUUUUCAAACAGUUAAUAUACAAAUAGAGACGUACGUUAGGUGGUUACUCUUUUAGGUAGCUCUGCAUAUGACUAGUAUUUUAUUUGCUUUUGAGCCAAUAUUUUCAUCAUAGAGUCUAAGAUGCCAACAUUAUUCUCAUACCGUUACUAUUUUAUUUUAACUCAUAUGAGAUGUCAAUAUUGUAAUACCCGGUUAGAGUCUGGCAUCAGAAUUCCUACAGUCCGGUGGAAUCUCGAAUGUCGGAAUCCUCUAGAAGGGUAAGAAAUGUGUUUUUCUAAUUGAUUUUCAUAAGUUUUAAGGUUUUAGUUUUUGAAAGAAAAGCACCAAGGAAGAAUUGUCAGGUUCGGCCGCCGAAAGUGAUGUUCAGCCGCCGAACGUUGCAUGGUUUCGGAAUCACGUUUGGCCGCCGAAAGUGGUCUAUCCAGCCACCUAUAAAAGGCCAUAGGUCGGUGAAUGGAUAAGAUUUUCUUUCCAUUUCCACGGAUAGAGGUGAGACCAUGAUCUUCCUUGGGUGAUCUUCAUGUUUUCUCCAAAUCUUUCAAAGUUUUGAGAAGUUUUCAUGUUGUUUUGAAGCUUUUUAGCUAAAGACCAAAGUUUUGAAGCUUGGAGACUUUGAGAGCGAGUUUCUCCAUAUCUCCACGUUAGAAUCACCUAUCCUCUCGAUCUUCAAGAGGUAAGUGUAGAUCCUUAGUUUCUUUGAUGUUUUAUGAAGGUUAAAAGUUUUAUGGGUAGAAUUGCAUGUUAAGUUAAGUAGGGUUUUUGUAUGUUUGUUGGUGAUAACAUGUGUAUGUGUUGAGUUGUGAUGCUUGUUGGGGUUUUAAGUUAGUUUUGGACCCCUUUGUGCAUAUACUUGAGUAUAUGCUUGUUGUUGAGUUGUUGGUUGCAUGUAUGAGGAAGUUUGGAGGAGUUUUGCAUGAAAUAGAGCUGGAUUCUGCCUUACUGGAGAAUCCAGUUUCGGCCGCCGAAAGCAGGUUCGGCCGCCGAACGUGCUAAGGAGGUGGUUUCGGCUGUCUAAACCCGCUCCCGAAAGUUUGGACUUUCGGUUCUGGAGGGGGAUUCGGCCGCCGAAGGUUGAGACUUUCGUCUCUGGAAAUGACUUGUGAUGGAGGAGGAGACUUGCAUAUUUGAAUGCAAUAAUAAAACAUUUUAAAUUUCUUCAAUAAAUUAUAUAUUUUUAUUAAUUUUAAAAAUAAUUAAAAAUAUAACAAAUUCAUAAAUCAUAAUCAAUAAUCUGUCUUACUAAUUUGGAGAAAGGGAACUAUUUUAUUUAGUAAUUUUUUUUUUAAAAAAAAAGGGAAGGGUGGUACUUAUUUCCUCUUUAUUUUCUUUUACAGUUGAAAUUAAUUAAAACGGUGAUUAAUUUACUCUUUUCAUUCAUCCAGCUGAAUUUCCAACAAGGCAAUUCAAGUGAAUUUUUUUUCUAUGGACAUUCACAGUACAGAAAUUGCUAGGAAAGUUUACGGCCAUGGUGACAAUUUGAUUUGAUAGCAUAUUACUAUAAUUAAUAUAAAAUUGAAAGAUUGAGUAUAUAACUUAUAAAAAAUUAAGACAAUUCAUAUAACUUCAAAUUUUAUUUGAAGGUAAUUACGCUUAUAAAAUGAUCAUUUUAUGAAAAAAAUUAAUAUUAAAUUAAUGAAAACUAAUUUCUAAAAUAUAUGAAUAUAUUUUUUUAUAAAUUGAAAUUAUAAAAAUUAUAUUGAACAUUAAUGAAUAAUAUCAUUAUUGAUUAAAAAGAACAUUUUAUUUUAUUAUUUAUAAAAAUGUGUUAAUAUGUUUAAAUAUAUUAAAAUUUGUAAAUUAGUUACAAAAUAAGCAUAUAAAUAUUAUAGAUUUAAUUUCUAAAAUCUGCUAGAGUGUUUGUUUUUUAAUUGAGAAGUUAUGGGAACAUCAACUGCCAAUGUUGUUGAGAUUCUUGCCUUGCUCAUUCUACUUCAAAGCGUUUCCUCCUUCUGCAAUGGAGAUAAUUUCAAUGGAAGCUGUAUCAAGACUGAAAGAGAAGCUCUUGUCAAGUUCAAGUCAAGCCUCCUCAACAAUUCAAACUCGUUGCCUUCAUGGGUGGGAGAUGACUGCUGCAGAUGGCACGGAGUCACUUGCGAUGACAUAACCGGUCAUGUAGUUAACCUCG